AUUAAAUAGAAACCGUAGACAGUAGGGACCAUAGGGUUUAAAUUACCUACCGAGGUAGAAACUAAUAUAAAUCUGAAAUUAGAGUCUCUUCGUGUCUGCGUAGGGACUUUUAUUAUUU
rnacentral:sRNA from 1 species